GUCGCCCGCUCAUAUGCAUCUGCUGCUGCAUUGGAUGGUCACAUAUUCGCUUUCGGUGGUGGAGGUGGCAACUCAUCAUGGUAUAACACAGUGGAAUGCUAUAGUUCAAGGAAUAACGAGUGGAUAGAAUGCCCCUCAUUGAACCGAAAGAAAGGAAGUCUUGCUGGUAUCAGUCUUAAUAGCAAAAUAUAUGCUAUUGGUGGAGGAGAUGGAAAUGAAACUUUUUCAGAAGUUGAGAUGUUUGAUCCAUAUCUCGGGAAAUGGAUAUGUGGUCCAUCUAUGCUGAUUUCUCGAUUUGCUCUUGCUGUAGCUGAAUUGAAUGGCACCAUCUAGGCAUCUACGCAACUGGUGGAUAUGAUGGAAGCACGUACUUACAAUCAGCAGAACGGUACGACCAAAGGGAGGGUGUCUGGGCCCGGCCGUCUUCCAAGUAUGAGCACAAAGAGGGGAUGCCAUGCCCUAACUGUCCUGGGAGAAAGCCUAUAUGCAAUGGGAGGAUACAAUGGGGACAAGAUGGUUUCUAGCGUUGAGAUCUUCGACCCUCGCCUCAAUGCCUGGAGGAUGGGAGAUCCCAUGGGCGCCCCAAGAGGAUACGCCGCUACAGUUACUCUGGAUGGAAGCGCGUAAAAAGGAAGAUAAAAAUAAAAAACUUAGGGAAAAGUAUCUUGAACGGUGUAAAGACACACCAGCGCUUAUGUAUGCCAAAUACACUCUUGGAUUUAGCUACAACUACACGAUCGCAGUUAAUAAACAUAUUCCUGGAUGGGAUGAGGAUGUUUUCAAAUAGAAAUU